rnacentral:rRNA from 1 species
UACGUAGGGGGCAAGCGUUGUCCGGAAUCAUUGGGCGUAAAGCGCGCGUAGGCGGCCCGGUAAGUCCGUUGUGAAAGUCAAAGGCUCAACCUUUGAACGCCGAUGGAUACUGCCGGGCUAGAGUCCGGAAGAGGCGAGUGGAAUUCCUGGUGUAGCGGUGGAAUGCGCAGAUAUCGGGAGGAACACCAAUGGCGAAGGCAGCUCGCUGGGACGGUACUGACGCUGAGGAGCGAAAGCGUGGGGAGCGAACAGG